AGCAUUUGUAUAUGUUUGUGAUAAGCUUUUGGACAAAGGCAUGGAAGACAGGUGCAAAGACAAAACUUCUUUUGCAACUCUGAAAGCGUUUGAGUUUCGAUACAUGUAAGACAAAGAACA